AACUUUCUCUGCUUUCUAAACUAAUCAAAUCCAUUGUUUUAUAUCUCAAAAUUUUAUUUAGUAACUACUUCACUGAAGUGCCAAUAUCUUAGAGGAUAUAUAUAUUUAUAUUGAUAUUCACAUAGACACACAUGUAUAUACACAUAGGCACAUGUAAUAUUGUUAAAUCAAGUUUAUCCUAAAGUUGCUUCCUUACGUAUUUUAAGUUUGGCCUAUAGUGAACAGUAACUUCAAUGCAGGUUUAAAUAGACAGUAAUCUACCCUUGUGCUCGUCAAAAAGUUUUGGCCAAUCAAUGGCAAAUCAAACCAUGUUCAAAUAAGGCAAUGAGCUGUAACCAAUCUGGGUUUGUUUACCUCACUUCCAUUUUCUGUAUGUCACUUUCAUUUUUGUGACCAUAAAUCUUCCACCAUGCGGCUGCACUGUAGUCUCUCUGAGCUUACUGGCUAAGGCUGCUGCCAGAUGCCAGAUUUGCAAAUCGUUUUUUGCUCAGUUAAAUUCUGUUAAAUUUAAUUUGUCUAAGGGUUUUUGUUGUUUUUUUUUUAACAGAUGGUGUCAGAAGAGGAAUCUAAAGUAGAGCUUCCAGUGACCCCCAGGAGCAUCGAGUGACCAAGCGAGGUAACUGUAGGACACAUUGUGUCCACUGCUCUUUCACAGCAACUGGGGAUCAUGAGAUGGGGUUUUACCAUGGGUCCCAGGCUGGUGUUCCAAAGUGGUGAAUGUGAUUUUAAUAAAUCCUGUUUCAAUUGGGGGAUCAUCUGGUAUCCUGGAAGAAUGGGUAACUGGCUCUUGUCACCACCCCUAGCUUAGACUCCUCUGGCGUGUAUCCUGAACUAUUGGGACUGCUUUGACUCUCAGAAUCUGGAGGAAAAAUGAUUCAUAGUCCUCUGCACAAAGGUUUGGCCAAAUUAUGAUUUACAGCAGGGACUAACUUGUCCUCAGGAAGGAACCAUUCAUUUCAAUAUCAUCUGUCAGUUGGAACUUUUCUGCAGAUGUGAGGACAGAUGAUCUGAGGCCCCAAAUGUGCAGGCUUUCUAUACAUUGCAAGGCAAUCCAGACCUUUGCUAACAGUGUAGAAUUGAUCCAGCCCUCCUGUUUGCCAUCUCAGGGAAGGCUGCAAGGGGUAAGUCCAGGGAAUUAAAGAGUUCUGGAGGUACUCCCAGCAGAGGAACCAGCUCUCAAGCCCAGCUCCUCUGGGUCCACCUCAACCUCCCUAUUCAGCUCUCACUUACCCCCUCCUAAAAAUCCUCACCCUAAGCAAGCCCCAGUCUCACUCUUGCCUCUUCAACAAAUGCCCAGUGAAUUUGGGCCCAGUAAGGUCCAGGUCCCCUUCUCCCUACAGGAAUUAAAGCAAAUUAAGGGGGAUCUUGGCAAGUUUUCAGGUGACUCUGAUAGUUAUACAUAGGUUUUACAGAAUCUCACCCAAAUAUUUGAACUCUCCUGGAGAGAUGUUGUGUUACUUUUGAAUUAGACCCUGACAGACAUGAGAAGCAGGUAAGCAGCAGAGAGAUUUGAUGAUGUGCUUUGCACCAUAUAUAGCAUCAGAGAAGGGAAUGAACAGUAACCAACUGGAAGAGAAGCAGCACCAGUCAAGGCCCCUAAAUGGGAUCUCAGUGAUGAGAUGGGAGACUGGAAAAGGAGACACUUUCAGGUGUGCAUAGUGGAGGGCUUAGGUAUGACUAAGACCAAGUCUCUCAAUUAUACUAAGUUGUCCAUGAUUGACCAGGGAUUUGAUGGAAAUCACACUUCCUUCCUGGAGAGGCAAAGAGAGGCCUUGGUAAAGCACACCUCUAUCUCCUGAUUCAGUUCAGGGAAAGCUAAUCCCAAAGGAUGGAUUUAUUAUUCAGGCAGCUCCUGAUAUCAGGAGGAAAGCUACAAAAACAGACCCUGGGACAGACAGUACAUUAGAGGACCUCCUGAAGGCGGUGUCUUUUAUAAUAGAGAAAGAGGCAAAAGCUUUCAUGGCCACCACCCAAGGUCAUAAACCCCAGAACUUCCAUGGUACACCUGCUAACUGCUACAGAUAUGCCAAGAACAUAUCUGCAGCUCUUCUAAAGUUUAACUGCUCCCAUACAAAGUUUAAUUUCUUUCACCAGGGUGAAACAGCUCUGGGUACAAUGUUGUUAGUAUAUUUCACUUCUUAUCUCUGUAAUCUUUGGCACUAAAUUCUUUCCUUGUACAAUACACAUAUUUAAACCCUGCAUACUUAACCUUAUAAAACUUGUUCUUUUUCUCUCAUGCCUAGAAGCCACCAAACUCCAAACGGUUAGGCAACUGGAGCCUCAGAUGAUGGCUCUCAUUUAUCAGGAAGCCCUAGAUAGACCUCUGGGAGGAAUCUGACUGCCAUUUUCCCCAAAACAGUGCCCCUGUUAGCAGGAAGCAGCUAAAAUAGGUCAUCAUCCAUAUUUUAAUGGACGUUAGAUGUACCUCUUCAGAGGAGGGAAAUGACAUGGGAGAGGAGCAGGGAAGUGCUGGGAGGAGAAGGGUGGGGACCCUGGUGAGGGCCUGUGCCCACAGUGCUAGGUGAGGACAGGCACUUCAGUUUUCAUGCCCAAAUGUUGCAUUUUCCAAGACAACCCUGGCCUGCCAUGCCUCCAUCCUGUGCCUGUAAAAAUGUCGAAACCUUAGUGGGCACAGACACAAAUGGCUGGAUGUCGAGAGGAACACACUGGCAGAAGAACACACUGACAGACACCAGCAGACACUGGCAGGCAUCUUCAGUGACACGAGGUGAAGUUUGACCAAGGGUGGUCAGAGAAGAGCCCGGUCACUGGGUGGCCCAACUGUAGGGGAAGACCACCUUCCCACUCCAUUUCCCUUCUGGCUUGCCAUCCAUCUGCUGAGAGCUACUUCCACCAUUCAGUAAAACUGUACACUCAUUCUCGAGGUCCAUGUGUGAUCCUAUUUUUCUAGUAAACUAAGGCAAGGACCCAGGAUACAGAAAGCCCUCUGUCCUUGCAAUAAGGCAGAGGAUCUAACUGAACUGAUUAACACAUGCCACUUGCAGACGACAAAGCUGAAAGAGUGCACAGCAGCACACGCAGGCUAGGGCUUUGGGAGCUGUGAACACUCAGCCCUAGACAUUGCUCUGUGGUAGGCACUCCCCGUGAGCUGCCUGUUUGGAUGCUCCUGCUAUGGGUAUUAGCAGUGGAGCACCAAAAAAGUGAGCCACACCCCAUCACAGGCCCUGUGAGGGGAAUAAGGGAACUUUCCUGUUUCAGUUCCGGUACCAUAUUGUGUAUUUUCAGGGUCGCAGGACUCCUGACUGUUAAUUAGUACUGUGUUUCGUGAGCUUUCUGAAGUAUGUUGAAUGCAAGGCUAAGCAUAUAACUUUCUAACUUGCCCAUAGUGUCCCUGAUUGUUGAAGCACAGAUAGUGAAAUAGGAACAGACCGCGGUUGUCAUUGAUUUGCUGAAACUAGUUAACCCACAUUUAAUGAAGAAUAGAGUUGUAAAAAAACAUGUUUUUAAGUUGUUUGUUUCUAGCAGUAGAUGAUACUAAAGAGAGGUCUAGAGAAUAAAAGGGAUCAUAUGAGAAGUAUAAGGGAUGAGGUAAUUUGGCAAAAUUUCAAGACAUUUCCUGAAAAUGUAGACAUUGUUCAUUUUGCAGGCUGAAGGAAAAAUGAAGUAAAGGUGGAGAUUGUCUUUAAAUAUUCUUGCAUUAAUUUCAUUGAACAUGGUGACUGAUUUCUGCUAGAAUUUCUUUUUGCUGUCUUAUAGCUAAGGGAAAAUACAUGUUUCUUUCUUUCUUUUUUUUUUAAUCACAAUGUAAUGUCUCUGCCUUUCGGUUGAAAUAAUCUAUAAUCUAUACCUAUAGUCUAUAAGAUUCUCUGCAUAGUAGUUGACAGUCAAGUGUUCAAUAAAGAGUGAUCUAUCCUGGAACCUGUAUAAUUAGAUUUCAUUUUGCUUAGUUUAUAUUAGGUCGGUACAAAAGUAAUUGCACUUUUUGCUAUUACUUUUAAUGUGAAAAAAUGCAAUUACUCUUGCAACAACCUGAUACAUAGUUUUCACUUGGUCAUUUAGAAAAGAUACAUUAAAUAUUGUUUUUUUGUUUUAGAAGUCUUUGCUCUUCAGUCUAGCAGUAAGUUUCUUUCACAUUAGCUUUCAAAAAGUGAACCUUCAAUUCUAAACUUUUGAGUUGUAAUUUCAAUGACUUUUCUAUCUGUAAUGUUCUCUGUCGUUAUUCCUAAGAAAAUCACAAGAACUUUGUUUCCAAAAUAAUAAUUUUGAGAAACAAUUUGAGAGUUUAUACAGAUUUUUUCUAAGUUUUGGUAAUAGAAAAAUUCUUAAAGCUCAUGGAAGGAUUUCUAUUUAUAUACUCCAGAUAGGGAAAUAGUAACUUGGUGAUGUUUUAAUAAAGAAAAAUCUUGAAUGUCAAACAUUGAUCAAUGUUCUCUUUAUUUUACUUGUACUGAAAUGAGAACAUUUAUUUAAAAAUCAUCUGAACACUCAGCUGUCUAUUGUGUCCUGUGUAAUCUCAUGUAUGUGAUUAACUACAAAACCUGUGUAUUUAUUUGUUCUUUUGAAAACCUAUUUAUUUUUUGCUUUUGAGGUCCCUGAAAAUAAUAGAUGAACUUUUUUAUUUUUAACACAUAUUUACUAUCCAAGGUAUUAACAUAAAAUGCAAACCAUCUCAACAUAAUUUUUAUUUUUUCUUGUAUUUAAUAUUUAUUAUGAAAGUUAUAGGUCUGAGACAAUUAUGAAAAUUAUAGGUAUAGACAAUUAUGGAAAAAAUGUAUUUAAAUAGAAUGCGUUAUGCUGCCAAAGUCUUAAAUCGAUCCUGACAACACUGGUCACAGUGACUUGUUUCCUUAUUACCCCAAGGAUUAUUGGUUGAUUUUUGACCAUUCCAGCACCAUUCCACAUGAAUACAUUCCCAUUUGAUUUCUGCUGUUAAAUAUCUAUUUAGACUACAGUUCUUGUGAUUUUGUAAGAUGAUUUCCUGGUGGAUUUCUUCAUUUUCUUGACAUAAUAGAUACCAGAUUCAGCGAUUAUACUUUUCUCUGUAGCUUCCUUGGAGGUCUUUGGAGACAGGGGUGGUAAAGAAAAUUUCCCACCUUUGAGGUCUCACUUUUCAUGGUUAGUGUAAUUCUAUUUUCCCAAGCAACAGUUUCACUGAAAGUGGCAUGUUUCUUCUUAGUUCUUUGUUAUUUAUGUCUUUUCAAAUUUCCAGGAAGUGUGAUUUCUAAAGCAUGGUCAAUAAGUAGGCUACUAUUGUUCCUAAAGUGGAAAUUACAUUAGUGGAGCAGAAAGUGAGAUUUUUUCUUGUAGUUCCUACCUCUGAAUUCAUUUUGAUUCAAAAAGGCAUUUAGCAAAUACAUAGUUCCAGUUGCAGAAAUGAACAAAAUCACCUCAGUGUCAAAGUCAUAGCCCUUGAUCAGCAGAAGGCGAGUUAGAGGCUGAUGACUGACUUUUUGAUUCACAAUCAUUGAAGCAUCUCUACACCAACUGUAACCCUCUAGGAAAAUUCGUUGGUAUAUAUUUUGCUUAAUUAUCAAAGAUGUAUAUGUGUAUUUUAUUUUUUUCUAAAUUUGUCAUUUAAGAUGAAUAUAUAAACAUCUUCAGAAGAUAUAUAUAAUAUCUGUCUUCCAAAGAUAAUGAAGAUCAACCGUAUAUUGUGUAUUUACCUACUCACUGAAAUUUAUUUGUAACCCCAAAAUCAAUGCUUGGUUAUUUGCAGACAUGGAUGUAUAUAGAGAGAGUGGCAAAAAAUUUGAGUCACUUAAAGCACAGGUUUCCAGCUGAAGGUAAACAAAGAGACAUUUUGCCUUCCUGUUUCUGUUCCCCUAUAAUUUAACAAGUGAGUUUUUUGGUGGUUUAUUUUGUGUGUGUGUAUGUGUUGCAUUUUCUUGGUCAUUUUGUUGUUUAAUGGUCCCAAAGCAUAGUUCCGAAGUGCUCUCAAGUGUUUCUAAGUGCAAAAGACUGGGACAUGCCCUGUGGAGAAUGUAGGUGUGCUAGAUAAAUUUCAUUCAGGCAUUAAUUAUGGUGCUGUUGGCCAUACGUUCAAUGUUACUGAAUCAACAAUAUGUACUGAAUGUGAUUUUAAACAGAAAUAUGCAUAAAGCAAAAUUAUAUAUUGGUCAGUUGAAUUAAAAUAUGAUCACAGGGUUAUAGGAACCUAACUCCACAUUUCCCGUAGAAACAAUGGUUCAGUAUUCAUUAAUUCAGUGCUCAUUGUGACUUUAUAUAACCAUGACACACAUAGUUACCAUGAAUAACAAGAAUCAACUGUAUGUGGUAGAAGAGGAGAGAGUGUUAACUUUUCUCCAGGCUCUUGUUGCAUGUGCUUAGGUUUGUUAUCUCAAUUUAACUUCGAGACUGCAGUUUUCCAUCUGUUUAAUAAGAAUGAUAAUUCCAGAGCCACUGUCUGAAAAGUGUUGUUUUAAAGACUGAAUGAAGUGAUACGUAUAACACUGCUUUGUAAACUGAAAUGAUGCAACAGGAGCAGAAAGCAUUAUUUAUUUAGAGGGAGGAAAAUAUACUAGAGAUUUUAUAAUGACUAAUGCUUACCACCAUUUUGUAAGAAUAUUCAGUUCUUUCUUGAUUUAAUAAGAUGACAAAUCACAUGUUAAGCUGUUAAAGAGUUUACAUCUGAAAUUCAAAUUCCAUUUUAAGUAGGAGCAUUGUCUCUUCUUUUAUCUGUUUCCCAAAUUAUUAAAGCAUAUUACAUUGUGUAGGAGCGAAAUUGAAUAUUAAAGAAUACUGUGGACUUGCAUGUAUUUCUAUCUUUUGUUUUCUCUGGGCCAGCUCUGCUUAAUUUACUAACACAUAAAUCUUUCCUACCAUAGUGCUGGAAAGUCAAUUUAGCUGAGGAAGAAUGAAGCUGAAUUCUGUUCUGCCUCAUGCAUCACCAACAAAUUGCUAGGCCAGUUAAGUUUUGAUUGCAGAAUAUUUAUUUUUGGUGACAGAUGUUGCUGAUGUAAGAACCUAGAUGAUCACAGCUUGAAUUAGCCUGGGUUGAGGUUGAAAAAAAAUUGAAAUGGAAAGUGUUAAUGGAAGUAAAUAUGCAACAUCAGGAUGACAUUUUUAGUGUUAUAUUUCUGAUGAUAUUUUUGUGGUAAAUAGGGUGUGACUACAUUUGCAUGCAGGCAAUGACUUUUGGCAGAAAGAUGGAUACAGCCUUUUAUGAAAUCACAUUCUUAAGGAGACCGUUUGGUAAUGGAACCUAGGAUAGUUAAAUUUGCUACACUCCAAAUACUUGUUUGGAUCAAAGCAGAGUCCAGCAUGGAGACUAGUUACUAAAAAUCGUGGUUUCUGAGAAGGUCUGCUUCCUGUAUACCUGUAUUAUAUCUAUUACCUCUCAUAUCAUAUCAUAAUAGUUUUCUUUACCUUUCUUUUCUAGUUGUCCAGAAAUGACUAUGAACAUCUUUACAUGUCAUAGUUUUUCGACGACUGUUAGAUGAAAAAUAGCUGCAUAGACGUAAUUCCCCCAUUUCCACACUGAAUGCAUGCUGACUUUCACAUGAGAGGCAAAGAAUCAUUGGGACUCUUGUCUCCUUGGCAAGAUCAUGCAUAGUUUUAUGCAUAAAGGUUUUUGUGGCCCCACAUGAAUCACUAAUGGUGACAUGUCAGGGAGGUGUGACAGGGAGGCCACUGAGAAGGCCAUGGCAGUAAUUCUUCCACUACAACCCCACCUUCCCUCUUUGAAAACAGCCAAAAGUUGUUGACCCAAUGGGUCUUUCGUUCUUGCUGUGAAGUUGUUGAACAUAUAAAACGACCGUUAGAAAUCCUGUUUUUUACUCAUUGAAAUGGUGAAAAAAAAUGAAUAAUUCCUAUUGACACAGGAUGUUUUCUUGACCCCUUUGUGGGACUUAUGGCAGGGAUGCCCCAUUUCCUCAGCCUGCCCUACUCAACUCCUCAUGGACUGGAGGGUGCAGGUAAACGCGUCUGGGAAACAGAGCGAAUGAGUGCAAGAACCGGCCAGCAGCUUCAGCGCCAGCAGGAGCACACUCUGUGCAGGCCCUGCGGCAUCAUCCAGGUGGGGGUGCCUGUGACCCCAAGGCCCCAGGGGGCAUGUUGCAAUGCUCCGUUAGCUCCACUGCCCAUGGAUAGCAGUGUGUUAUCAUCUCAGGGUGCCCUUUUCUCAUCACAUGGGGAGGUUGCCCUCUUCCAGCAAGGGCAAAGGGCCUGUGUGACAGCUUCAUUGGGUAUUCACACUUGGUGCAUCUUGAAUUCUUAUUUGGUGACCAGGAGGAAUGAAGUCAUGCAGAUAAAUUGAAGGAUGGUAAAUGAGGAUAAUUUUAUUGAGAAAUGAAAGCAGCUCUCAGCAGAGAGGGGAGCUAGAAAAGAGAUGGGAAGGAAAGUCCUAAGUGUCCAGGGUCACUCUCUUCUGAGGUCAAGCCUCCUCUCUGCCUUUCUCUUCCAAAGUCAAGUUGCCUCUUUUCAACAUCUAGCUGCCAUCCCUGAAGUCAAGUCACCUCUCCCCAACAUCCAGUAACUUCUCUUUUCUAUCAGCUGAGUCUGAAGUCUUUAUAGGCACAGGAUUAGGGGGCAGGGUGGGCCAUAGGCAGUUUUGGAAAAUGCAACAUUUCAUUGGUAAAAAGACAAAAGAAGCAAUUGGGAGAGAGUGGGCACACAGGGAUGGAAGUUCUCACUUUUGGGCUGUGGGUUUCAGGCUUUUUGGCUUGAAGGCUGGGUUUUGCUGGGGACCAACCCCUGUCUAUCUUGAAUUUCUCUGCCUCCUACCUCUAUCACUACUAGUGGAGGAAAAAAAGUAGUGAUUAUGUUAGCCUGAUUGUUUUGUUUUUUUUUUUUUCCAAUAGUAUAUUAGAUUUUUGUGUACUAAAAGGAAGAUUUAGUUUUAACAUGCUUAUGUUUGGCUAUGAAUUUAAAAAUACAUAUUUUGAAGAUAUACCAGAAGAAAGCACAAUUGGAAAUAUGCAGUUCAUAUCUUAAUUUUACAAAGUGCAUUUUUCAUUGUCAGUCUUUGCCCAUGUCAUGACUAUAUGACAGGUAGCUUUGCCACCAUCUUUUUUUUUUUCUUAGUAGAGGGCAUCCACUCGUUUGUUCUUGGAAAUCCAAGUAAAUGACUAAUGAAUCAAUAGCAAAAACAACGAGGUAUUUCUUCACCAAAGAUAUUCUGCUUUCUAUAGUGUUUUUUCUUUUAAAACAAAUACAAUGCUUUAUCUUUGCUGCGAUGUGGAGCAGUUUUCUUGCAAAUUUUGAAAGUGAACUUUCAAACACAAGGAAUGAAAAACACAGACACAGACACACACACAGACACAUACACACACACGAGACAGGAAAGUCCUGAGUGCAGAUAAUAGUUAUGAUAAUAAUUAUUGAAAUUUCAUGUUAAAUAGAUAUAGGGAAGUGAUGGCUAUCACAUUCCUGGGAGAUUGUUUAGACUCUAGGUCAUUUCAGGCAGGCAAAACACUGAUUUGAUAUAACACUUCUUGUUUAAUGAAUGGCUGAGUCCCAAAUGUCUGACAACUCCGCAUCUCUCUCAUCCUUCACAGUGUGAAAGGAGAGGAAUCGUGUAUUUUAAUAAUGUGUAAAGCUCGCACAGAGCUGUCAUAUAUUUUGGCUUAGCCUCUCUUUUCUAUAGGAAAUACAAUGUUGAGUAGGUUCUAACUGACCCAUGAGGUUACUGAUUUUAUGUUGCUAGAAAGACUGGUGAUGUCAACUCAGUAAUGCAAGUUCUUCCUGUGCAGGUAGAAUGACAACUGCUAAUGUUCAGGUAUAAUUACCUGGGCCAAAUAUUUUAUGUGCAUUUCUUGUUUCCUAUUGUCAGAUGUUACUGAUAUAAACCCAAACCUAAGAGUUAUUUCUUGGGACCUGAACAAAAGUUAGAUUUUGGACUUAGAAAUAAUGUCAUAUUUCUGUGGUUCCGUGAUAAGCUUUUUUUCUCCACCGCUACUACUGCUUCUCCUUCUCCUUCUUCUUCUUCUUUCUUCUUCUUCUUUUUUGAUGG